rnacentral:lncRNA from 1 species
CAGAAGUAGGAUUUGAAACCACGUUUUGCUGACUCUAGGGCCACUUCUCUACCCGCUUUGCUACAUUGCUUUUCGAGGCAUUUUAUAACAUAAUUUAAUCAGAAGGUUAGCAAUAAAUCAAUGAAAAAGAUGUGUUUCCCUAGCCUGUGACAAAACCAGUUUCUGUGCCAACUCCCUAGUAGUAGGAAGGGCAAAAUUCUGGAACAGACACCUUAUUCCAGGCCUAAGAGGUCAAAGGUAAACAAACAAACCAGGGCUUUUUCACUUACAAAUCUAUCCUAUGCCCUAUCAUCAUCCCCAACCUUUAGAUUCAGCUUCAUGGUAAUACCUGCAGGAACUCAAGAGCUCUAUUCUUCUCUCCUGAUCUAGCAUGGUUUAUACAAGCAGGACAGCAUCUGGCAUUAACUUUGCUCCCAGGCAGUCAGAUUUCCAGUCUCAGAUUUCCAGCUCCCCUUCUCAUCUGACUAAGAGUUCAAGAUCAGACCCUUUUGAAAUCUCUUGCUUCCUGCAUGUGGUGGCCACAGAGUCAAGGAGUUUACCCCUCUGUAAAUCCUGAAUCUACACGUGACCCAGACCUGUCAGCCCACAGAGAGGAAGAGAAAGAUUCCUUUUUGCCAAC